rnacentral:rRNA from 1 species
CCCAGACUCCUACGGGAGGCAGCAGUGGGGGAUAUUGCACAAUGGGGGAAACCCUGAUGCAGCGACGCCGCGUGGGUGAAGAAGCGCCUCGGCGCGUAAAGCCCUGUCAGCAGGGAAGAAAAUGGCGGUACCUGAAGAAGAAGCCCCGGCUAACUACGUGCCAGCAGCCGCGGUAAUACGUAGGGGGCAAGCGUUAUCCGGAUUUACUGGGUGUGAAGGGGGCGCAGACGGCGGCGCAAGCCAGGAGUGAAAGGCCGGGGCCCAACCCCGGGACUGCUCUUGGAACUGCGUGGCUGGAGUGCAGGAGGGGCAGGCGGAAUUCCUGGUGUAGCGGUGAAAUGCGUAGAUAUCAGGAGGAACACCGGUGGCGAAGGCGGCCUGCUGGACUGCAACUGACGUUGAGGCCCGAAAGCGUGGGGAGCAAACAGGAUUAGAUACCCCUGUA